rnacentral:rRNA from 1 species
UUGAAAAGAACUUUGAAGAGAGAGUUCAAGAGUACGUGAAACCGUUCAGGGGUAAACCUAAGAAACCCAAAAGAUCGAACGGGGAGAUUCAUCGUCAGCGGCGCUGGCUUCGCGUCGGUGGGCGAUGUCCCGCGGAGUCCUCGCGGCUCGCGCGCGGGCACGCUACCGUGCGCCGAUGUCCGGCUGUCGUCGUCGUGCACUUCUCCCCAAGUAGAACGUCGCGACCCGCUGGGUGUCGGUCUACGGCUCGGGUGCGGUGACUGUCGCGUCGCCGGUAAAACGGCACGCGACAAACCCCCGGUCGCCCGGCCGGCUGCUCGGCGGUACGCGCAAGGUAUCAGGCCGCACUUCUACACGGUGCGUCGAGGCCGUCGCAAGCGCGCGCCACGGUACUCGGAGGUUACGGACUUUGCGCCGUCCCCGGUCCUGGCCCGCUGUUGGUUAAAGUACGGAUCACCUUCGACAGGCCUGCGAACGUCCCUCUCACGGGGGACGGAUACCGGUCGGCGACGCUACUGCUUUGGGUACUCUUAGGACCCGUCUUGAAACACGGACCAAGGAGUCUAACAUGUACGCGAGUCAUUGGGACUUGUCGCGAGACCUAAAGGCGUAAUGAAAGUGAAGGUCGGCCCUGGCCGUCGACCGAGGGAGGAUGGGCCGCGUCGCGAUGCGGCCUCGCACUCCCGGGGCGUCUCGUUCUCAACGCGAGAAGAGGCGCACCCAGAGCGUACACGUUGGGACCCGAAAGAUGGUGAACUAUGCCUGGUCAGGACGAAGUCAGGGGAAACCCUGAUGGAGGUCCGUAGCGAUUCUGACGUGCAAAUCGAUCGUCGGAACUGGGUAUAGGGGCGAAAGACUAAUCGAACCAUCUAGUAGCUGGUUCCCUCCGAAGUUUCCCUCAGGAUAGCUGGCACUCGGCCGUUCCGCACGGAACGCGCGCGAGUCUCAUCUGGUAAAGCGAAUGAUUAGAGGCCUUGGGGCCGAAACGACCUCAACCUAUUCUCAAACUUUAAAUGGGUGAGAUCUCUGGCUUUCUUGAAUUAUGAAGCCACGAGCAUCUCGGAUCAGAGUGCCAAGUGGGCCAUUUUUGGUAAGCAGAACUGGCGCUGUGGGAUGAACCAAACGCAGAGUUAAGGCGCCCAACUCGACGCUCAUGGGACACCAUGAAAGGCGUUGGUUGCUUAAGACAGCAGGACGGUGGCCAUGGAAGUCGGAAUCCGCUAAGGAGUGUGUAACAACUCACCUGCCGAAGCAACUAGCCCUGAAAAUGGAUGGCGCUGAAGCGUCGAGCCUAUACUCUGCCGUCAGCGGCAAGUGGGGCGGCGACGGGAGCGUUGCGCGCGUCGGACCGCGUUUGCGGCUCUCUCGCGAGGCAAUCGUCUCCCUCGAGUCGUCACGAAGCCCUGACGAGUAGGAGGGUCGCGACGGUGAGCGCAGAAGGGUCU